rnacentral:lncRNA from 1 species
CCGAGAUUGAUGCUGCUCAGCCUUGAGGACAACGCUGAUUUGAAGAGGGAGGAAUUGUUAGGACCAUUUUUCUGAGCUUUGAAUAAUGUUUAUUGAGUCUGUUUAGUUCAGUUAUUUAUUGAGUUCAGUUAGAAUGGGGUAGAGGUUUAUUUAAUAUUUAUUUAUUAUUAAGAGUCCAAGUCCUAGUGGACUCUAGAUGGAACUCUAUAAAUAGUGAUGUAACCCUUUCUUUUGAGAAUCAAUCAAUC